rnacentral:lncRNA from 1 species
AAGGCUCUGCACUUUACUUUUGGUAUACAAAUUUACAAUGAUCCAAAACCAGACCGUUACAUCUCUUGCAUGACCUUCAAAUCACACUUUCACCUCCUACCACAUAGAUGACUCCAUUGACUAUUGCCAGAUAAAGGUUAGAAAUAUUCAUAAAAAUAUUCAAUACCAAGAUUCUUGCUGUUCAUCAGUCAUAUUCAGACAAUCAAACAAGUCAUGGAUGGCUGAAUGGAAGUGACGAAAGAAACAAAUAAAUCACUUUAGUCAAGCUCAAUUAAC